rnacentral:lncRNA from 13 species
CUGAAUGAGAACAUCUGAAAGUCCAUCUCCGAUUUCCUUUCAUCGGCACUAACUCAGUUUGACAGUCCGGACCCGACAGAACUAUAUAUCACAACAUGACCUAGAGUUGGCCAGACGUUUAAAUGCUCACCAGCCCUGAACUCACAAGGCUGUUUUUAACCUCCGGCUUGUUUGUAGAUUGCUGUUCAAGUGCCUGACAUUUGGGUGUUCAUGGAGUGCUUUGAUUGGCUGAAGCAUGGGGUUUUUUAAUAAUAUGAGCUGUUAGUCUAAACAAUCGUUUCUAAGCAAAACCCUUAAAUUUAUUCUUUAAAAUACUUCAUUUUAUCUUAAUGGACAAGACACUAUUUGAGGAUACAUGGUUCCUGCUUUUGAGCAAUCUAUCUUCUAGUGAGGAAUACGCAUGUAUACACCCCAACAUAAUCUGUGAGUGCUGUGUUAUAAAGAGGAAUGAGGUUGAGGAAUAA